AUACUUGCCUGGCAGGGGUAAUUCCAUGAUCACAAAGGUGGUUUCCCCAAGGUGAGGCUUAUCCAUUGUACUCUGGAUGGGGCAACCCCUGCGAUUUCACCAAAUGUGGGAAACUUGACCGCAUAAUUUGUGGUAGUAGGGCACUGUGUUCAAUGUUCUUCCCUG